CUACUACCGAUUGAAUGGCUUAGUGAGGUCUUCGGAUUGGCUUUGGCGCGCUCGGCAACGGCAUGCUAUGGCUGAAAAGUUGAUCAAACUUGGUCAUUUAGAGGAAGUAAAAGUCGUAACAAGGUU
rnacentral:rRNA from 1 species